GGUGUUCCCGGACCGCCUACCGCGCGCAGCCCCUCUCCGAGCCCCAGCCGCGGGACCCCGCGCGUAAAGGCGCACUCGGCCCACCCCGGCCACCCGAAGAGGGCAGGGGGCCGGAGUCGCAAGUCCCCACCCACUUACUGUUGGGACACCCACCCUGGCUCCCUAAAACCUCGGAGAGCGGGCACUGGGGGGCGUGGGGGGCGACACGCUCGUGCGCUCCCAUGAAUCGGGUCACCAAGAAUCUCCUUUAGCUGCGGGAAGGGGCUUCCUUCCCAAGCACUGAGACCACUCUAGGGAUCCCUCGGUCAUUUCGUGCCCCAAGGGUGGCGUGAUCCAGGGCCAGCAGACGCAAUUGCUUGGGUGCAGGUGCGGUGCUGGGGUCAAUUCGGCCACGGGAGGAGUUCCUACGACUACCAAGGGCAGCAUCCUACCCAGGGACCGCGGAGACCCAGUACGUAGCUUUUAGGAGGCGAGUCCCAGGCAGGUGUAGACUCGCAACUUUAACUUGGGGUGGGGGCGGGGCACUCACGCUUCGGACCUUUCUCGCGGCCCCAGGGACCCGCUCCCGGCCCGCCCCCUCGGGGGAGCUGGAAGCGCAGUGCCCUCGCCGCCCACCCGUCCGCCCACGCACCAGCCGGCGGCGGCGGCCGCGGGGCCGCGAAGAGGAGCGCCGGGCUGGUUUUAAUUUCCUCUGUUUUGCCUGCACUCACGCCCCCUCCUGGCGUCCCCGCGUCACCUCGUGCCGCCGCCGCCGCCGCCGUCGCCCUCAGCCCGCGGCCGCCGCCGUCUGGAGGCGGCGAUGACUCAGGCCUUUCCAGGCGACGGCCUGGGGCUGAGGGCUCGGGCUGGGGAGAAGCGCUAAGGAUGAGGGGGGAGUGGGGCUGGGGGUCUUGAACAGUCUUUUUUUCUGAGCUGGACAACACCGAGAUGGAAGUGUGACCUGCGGGGAUGACUGUUCCUCUCUGCCUCAGUUUCCCCAUUUGCCAAGUGGGUGGUGGAGACCUAACACGUGUAAAGGGCUUGGUCAUCCUGAGAAGCAAUUUACUGAGCAUCUACUAUGUCCCAGGUCAACUCCAGGAGAGCAGGGAUUUGAUGACUCAGUUGGUGGCUGUAUCUCCAGUGCAUAAUCUGUUCGCUGAAUGGAUUAACCAGUGAUUUCUAGGAAGGACCCCGGAUCCAUCAGGGACAGGGAAGAAGUCUUUGGAAAGUGAUGGAGGGAGCUAGGAGCGGGUAGAGCAUCCUAUCUGCAAACCCCUCCCUUCCCUGGGGUGCCAGGCUGGGUGGGCCAACGCCAAGGGGGUGUACGGGCCGCCUAGACUGUUUUAUGACCAUGUGGUUCCUGCAGUGGCCGCCUGGAGGCACUGCAGCCCACGGCAGGAUUCCACUAGCCCUAAUGGAUUACCUCAUUUGGCCACGCCCCCGUUGUCCUUUAGCCCCGCCUCCACUGACCUCGUUAGUCCCGCCCCCAAAGCAACUCCCUCCCAGCCCUGGGGGCUGUAGGAUUCACCCUCCAAUUGCAACUCUGGCAGCAAACUCUGGCACCCUAGCCAAUCUUGGUGAGAAGACAGAAAAUCUAGGGUCCCCCUAGCAGGGGGUGGAGGAGAAGCCACAGGGGGUGGCUCCAAGGAUAAUUCAACUUGAUUCCUGGUUCAUUUUUUUUCCAGCGAUUUCUCAAGUGUGUGCCUCUUUUGGUCUUUUAUCUCUCCCAGGUGUGUCUCUUUGCUUCUCUCCGGCUCACACAUCCAUUGAGUACCUACUGUAUGUGGCCUCAUGCCUGGCGCUGGGCACACUCCCUAUUCCACCCAGCGCGUGGGUGCUUAGAUGCAUGGGGGAAUGGAGGAGCGAGGGAGGGGACCCCACAACCUCUCCUCGUGGCCUAGAAAUCCUUCUAUCUGGAGUCUAACCUCCAUUCCUCCCAACACCCCCCUCGGGGUGAGUACAAGGGUCUGAUUCUUUCCUUGAUGAGGAAGGGGAAGGUGCCCAGAUUGUUUCUCCCCU